AACGCAUAUUGCGCCCUUUGGUAUUCCGAAGGGCAUGCCUGUUCGAGCGUCAUUAUCAACCAUCAAGCCCGGCUUGUUAUUGGGUCCUGGUAUCGUUAAAAGAUAGGCCUAAAAGGUAAUGGCGGUGUCGAGUUUUGGCCCCUGGUGCAGCGAGCUUUAAGCAUACACCGAGGCGGUCUACUCGGCCUGGCCUUGUCAAACCCAUUUUCUUCAAGGUUGACCUCGGAUCAGGUAGGAUUACCCGCUGAACUUAA
rnacentral:misc_RNA from 1 species